GAUGAAAGAACGCAGCGAAAUGCGAUACGUAAUGUGAAUUGCAGAAUUCAGUGAAUCAUCGAAUCUUUGAACGCACAUUGCGCCCGCUAGUAUUCUGGCGGGCAUGCCUGUCCGAGCGUCAUUUCAACCCAUCAAGCUUAGCGCUUGUGUUGGAGCCCUGCGGCCGCCGCAGCCUCCUAAAAUCAGUGGCGGGCUCGCUAUCACGCUGAGUGCAGUAGUAUUCUUCUCACUCCUGUGGUGUAGCGGGUAACCAGCCGUAAACCCCCCCAUCUAUAAAGGUUGACCUCGGAUCAGGUAGGAAUACCCGCUGAACUUAAGCAUAUCAAUAAGCGGAGA
rnacentral:misc_RNA from 1 species